UCGGACCUGGGGGGGGGGGGGGAGGUAGGCGGGCAGAUAAAGUGUGGAGGAAAGGAUGACUUAGGGGAGAGGGGGAAGCCCUGGGAGAACAAAGCUCCGGGCCGUCGGCCUCCCAAGAGUCGCAGAAGUGACCGCCACGGGCUCGUGCACAGGCGGAAGCGGGGGGAGGGAGAGAGGCCGGGCCUAAAGCGCCCUCGCAGGUUUGGAAAACGCUGAGAGGGCACAGGGGGUGGGGAAAGUCGGAACCCGUAGCUAAAGGUUUGGCCCUCAGGCUAGUUUUUAAGGAAAUGGAUCUCAGGAAGGGGAGGAGGCACCACGCGCCCCGGAGAGGUAGGAGGGAGAAGCCCUGUCCCCCUCACCCCCCCCCCAACCCCCAGCUAGCAGAGCGUGUGCGGUGACCGACCUCCGCGCUCUGGACCAGGAGGGGGACGGAGCCGUCUGGCCGCCGCGGGCCUGUGCUUCCGCACCCCCCAGCUCUGCGCGUCGCCUGUCCCCGAGCGCCUCGCCUCCCAACUGUAAUCCCACACUCCCGCGAGCGCUGGGGCUGCGGAAUCGUUUGAGUUGGAACUGCAUCAGAUGAGAACGCCGGGAGACGCGAAAAUUGGACACGUGGAGACUGGGUGCAGACUCAAACAAUGGUUUCCAGCAGCGGAGCGAAAGGAGGCACCUUCCCAGCCUCCGCGCAUGGUCAAGCCAUCUCCUCCAGCAUGGCCGUGGUGCACUUCUGGCCGCAGAGCUCCUACGCUGCAGCCUGGGUAUGGAGAUGGGGUGGGUAUCCAUGCAGGGGAGCAGUCCCUCCCCCAGCCCCGCGGCCCAAGCCAGUGGGGGGCAGGGACCAAGGGAUGUGAGAUUCAGGAAGGGAAACACAACACGGCAGACAGACCCCAAAAGCAGUUCAGGACUUGCAGCCUGAGACCGAAGAGAGGGAGAGAAACCCAGGCGAAGGCUGUUGGGCCUUGACUCCUGAAGGGGAGGCCUUCCCCCCCCCCCCCCCCCCGCCCAGGGGUUGCCCUAGGGGAAGGUGGGGAGAAAUGGCCGCAGUGUCCGCACUGUGUCCGGCGCAGGUCCUGGGGCCCCACCACCUCCCGUCAGGCUGUGCUUCGCUCCUAGCAGGAGUCAGAAGCAAGCAAACCGGCCAGGACUGAGAAUUCAGAGGCCACGGGUGGCAGGUCAGCGGCGGCGCCCCAAAGAGAGACCCCAAGAGAGGCCUUUCUUCCACCGCAACCCCAGGGAGGCUACUGAGUUCUGCAAAGCCGCAGGAAGACUACAACAUCCCGAUGUGGAGAAAAAUGAGAGGAAACGCCAUUAAACUUGCUUCCUCCAAGGGGCACUACCCCCAGUUUUCUCUGAACUGUACCUAAAAAGUCAGGAGAGAGAACUCAUUCACUUUUGUUUGGUUUAACAUUGCCAGCUUCAAGUCAACCGUGGGCCCCCCGAAGGUUUCGUAAAAUAUUUAAUCUAGCUCAGACAAUUUCCUGCAGUCCCUAACCGGACCACCCCACUUACUGAACAACUGCCAAAAAGCAGGCUUGACUGCGGGCUGGCAACCGCGGGCCUUCCAGCGGCCUGUACCCUGCACGCAGGAGCCUGGACAAGGCCCUUCACAGAAUCCAGGGACACCAGGUCUGGGUUACCUGGGAGGCCCAAAGCGGUAAGGAAGGAAGAAGCCCAGGAAAUGAAGUUAAAGACACUUGCUUUUCUCACUAAGUUUGUGCUGUCUGUAUGACCCGCUGGCCCUCACCCUCCCCGAAGUCUGUGAAAUGGGCCUGUGGAUGUCUCACCUCCCUGGCGUGCUGUGCGUUUUGGAGAGCAGCACUGGGGGGGGGGGGGGGGGUGACUCCCUGUGUGCCGCCCUGCGCCCUCUACUCUCAUCCGUUCGCUGUUUUCCUCCCAAGCAUCUCACCAGGGAACCUAGCCAGCCAGAAAGGGAUCCUUCGACUGCGCUGAGCCUCAGCCCCUUCCAAACGUGAGGCUCACGGGGAGAACUCCUGCUCUGCCCAGUUUCCAUUCCUGCUUCCAGAAUAACGAGCCGAAAACAUGUGUACUGUAAAUAAAGCCUGUCUAAAUAAAGCA
rnacentral:lncRNA from 1 species